rnacentral:rRNA from 1 species
AUGGUUGUAUUUCAAAAGUCGUUUUUAUGUCAUUCAUCACAUUAUAUGCGGCUUAUCUUAUGCCUGUGUGACCUGUUUGAUUUUCUCUGUUUCUUUACUUCCUUCGCGGUUUGUUCUGCUCCCACCAAGGAUCAUAAACCUGUUACAUGUGUUAUUUCUAGAAUCACGAGUCAUCCAAGUUUGGUUGCACACUCGCGGAACAUCCAGCAAUUUCUCAAGAUACACUUACAAGACCAAGCAUGGCAUGACAUGAGAAAACCAACAAUGAUGAGUGCCUGCGCCUUGAGCUUUUUGGGAGUCUUGAUAAUCACUGAAAGUAAGUUGAUUGAUGCAUUGCGGAACCUUGAGCUUUUUUAG